UUAUAUUUCACAGAAUCAAACUAUAACUAAUAAAAUCAAAAUUUAUUGUGCAUCUUACACUAAAAUAUA
rnacentral:tRNA from 1 species